GACGAACGCUGGCGGCGUGCUUAACACAUGCAAGUCGAACGGAAAGGCCCCUUUGGGGGUACUCGAGUGGCGAACGGGUGAGUAACACGUGAGUAACCUGCCCUUGACUUCGGGAUAACUUCAGGAAACUGGGGCUAAUACCGGAUAGGAAUCCUUGCUGCAUGGUGGGGGUUGGAAAGCUUCGGCGGUUUUGGAUGGACUCGCGGCUUAUCAGCUUGUUGGUGGGGUAGUGGCCUACCAAGGCUUUGACGGGUAGCCGGCCUGUGAGGGCGACCGGCCACAUUGGCACCGAGGGGCGGCCCCGACUCCUACUGUAGGAAGCAGUGGGGAAUCUUGCACAAUGGGCGGAGGCCUGAUGCAGCAACGCCUCGUGCUGGAUGACGGCCUUCGGGUUGUAGACCGCUUUCAGCAGGGGCGAAGCUUGUGGUGACGGUACCUGCAGAAGAAGCACCGGCUAACUACGUG
rnacentral:rRNA from 1 species